rnacentral:rRNA from 1 species
CUGUACAGUUCAGAGUUUGAUCCUGGCUCAGGACGAACGCUGGCGGCGUGCCUAAUACAUGCAAGUCGUACGCACCGAAGAGAGAACUUGUUCUUUCGGACGUGAGUGGCGCACGGGUGAGUAACACGUGGGAAACCUACCCUUCAGCGGGGGAUAACCGUCGGAAACGAUGGCUAAUACCGCAUAGUUCUUUUGGUCACCUGACCGAAAGAGGAAAGACGGCUUCGGCUGUCACUGAAGGAUGGUCCCGCGGUGCAUUAGCUAGUUGGUAAGGUAAUGGCUUACCAAGGCAAUGAUGCAUAGCCGACCUGAGAGGGUGAUCGGCCACAUUGGGACUGAGACACGGCCCAA